UUGAGGGGCUUGCUCCUCAAGUUAGUGGCGCACGGGUGAGUAACGCGUAGAUAAUCUGCCUGAUGAUCCGGGAUAACACUUCGAAAGAGGUGCUAAUACCGGAUAAGCCCACGGUAUCUUUGGAUUCUGCGGGAAAAGGGGGGGACCUUCGGGCCUUCUGUCAUCAGAUGAGUCUGCGUACCAUUAGCUAGUUGGUAGGGUAAUGGCCUACCAAGGCUACGAUGGUUAGCUGGUUUGAGAGAAUGAUCAGCCACACUGGAACUGAGACACGGUCCAGACUCCUACGGGAGGCAGCAGUGGGGAAUUUUGCGCAAUGGGCGAAAGCCUGACGCAGCAAUUCCGCGUGGGGGACGAAGGCCCUCGGG
rnacentral:rRNA from 1 species